rnacentral:rRNA from 1 species
AUUGGGCGUAAAGAGCUCGUAGGCGGUUUGUCGCGUCUGCUGUGAAAGCCCGGGGCUCAACCCCGGGUCUGCAGUGGGUACGGGCAGACUAGAGUGCAGUAGGGGAGACUGGAAUUCCUGGUGUAGCGGUGAAAUGCGCAGAUAUCAGGAGGAACACCGAUGGCGAAGGCAGGUCCCUGGGCUGUUACUGACGCUGAGGAGCGAAAGCAUGGGGAGCGAACAGGAUUAGAUACCCUGGUAGUCCAUGCCGUAAACGUUGGGCACUAGGUGUGGGGGACAUUCCACGUUUUCCGCGCCGUAGCUAACGCAUUAAGUGCCCCGCCUGGGGAGUACGGCCGCAAGGCUAAAACUCAAAGGAAUUGACGGGGGCCCGCACAAGCGGCGGAGCAUGCGGAUUAAUUCGAUGCAACGCGAAGAACCUUACCAAGGCUUGACAUUCACCGGACCGCCCCAGAGAUGGGGUUUCCCUUCGGGGCUGGUGGACAGGUGGUGCAUGGUUGUCGUCAGCUCGUGUCGUGAGAUGUUGGGUUAAGUCCCGCAACGAGCGCAACCCUCGUUCUAUGUUGCCAGCACGUGAUGGUGGGGACUCAUAGGAGACUGCCGGGGUCAACUCGGAGGAAGGUGGGGAUGACGUCAAAUCAUCAUGCCCCUUAUGUCUUGGGCUUCACGCAUGCUACAAUGGCCGGUACAAAGGGUUGCGAUACUGUGAGGUGGAGCUAAUCCCAAAAAGCCGGUCUCAGUUCGGAUUGAGGUCUGCAACUCGACCUCAUGAAGUCGGAGUCGCUAGUAAUCGCAGAUCAGCAACGCUGCGGUGAAUACGUUG